rnacentral:rRNA from 1 species
AGGGUUAGUCGGGUCCUAAGGCGAACCCUAACGGGGUAGUCGAUGGACAACAGAUUAAUAUUUCUGUACUAGCAUAUAAUGUGAUGGAGUGACGGAGGAGUGAAAGAUCCGCGUACUGACGGAAUAGUACGUUAAAAAGUGUAGGUAUACGUUUACUAGGUAAAUCCGGUAGAUGUGCUGAAGCUUGAUAGUACCGCGAGCCUUCGGGCAAGCGGAUAGUGAUCCUAAUCUGACUCCCAAGAAAAACUUCUAAACUUAGUUAUAUGCUACCCGUACCGUAAACCGACACAGGUAGUCAAGGAGAGAAUCCUGAGGUGCUCGAGUGAUUCAUGGCUAAGGAACUAGGCAAAAUAGUCCUGUAACUUCGGAAGAAAGGACGCCACGCUUUGCGUGGCCGCAGUGAAUAGGCCCAGGCGACUGUUUAUCAAAAAC